CGAGCUUGCAUAAUUGUACAAAUGCAUUACUUUCCAACACAGAAUUUUGAGAAAAUGACAGAGAAAACGUUUUCCAUGUCGACUGCCCCAGUUACUCGACCUAUGUCUUCGGUAGCUAGCUUCACCUCUUCGGCAGCAACUACGAUGUCUGAGCUUUUUUGCAGGGCCAAAGAAAGAUGGCUGGAACAACUUGAUAAACAUUGACGCUGACGUUCAUUCCAACCCAAAUUUGCUUGAAUUUUAUUAUUAGUAAGAGGGUUGACCAUACACUCGAAAGUAGAGGAAAGAGCUUGCAAGAAAUCAAUAAGUCCUUCUUUUGUUUUGCAAGAAACUGCAUGUAUUCUAUUUUCAGGAAUCAAAAAAUUUUUCUGAAGAUAAGCUUUAAUGGGCUUAAACAUAGUUGUGUAAUCCGAAACGCAGUCGACUUUGUUUAUUAGAAAAUGAAUAGGUUUUCUUUGACGAAGGCAAUCUUUAAUGGUUUCCAAAAUUUCUGACUGUUUUAAAGAUUCGGAAAAAGAAUGGUAGUUUAUGGGAAAAACAAAAAGUGUUAACUGGGAUUCUUCCGCCCUGGCUUUCGCAAUUUCAAUACCAAUUUUCUCAAUUUCCUGAACGUCUUCUCCUUUUCUGAGUCCUGCUGUAUCAGAAAGCAAUACUGGAAAUCCAUUUAUAUCUACUAGUACUUCGAUAGCAUCUCUUGUCGUUCCAGAUUGAGGACUUACAAUUGAUAUUCUGCGGUUAGCUAGUAAAUUAAUUAAACUCGACUUCCCAGCAUUGGAAGGCCCAAGAAUAGCCACAUUAAUACCUUUCCUCAGAACUUCUUUACAUUUUCCUCCCUCUAUAUGAGCGUCUAUUUCAUCUUUCAUUUCAUUCAAUUCCUCAAACAACUUGAUCGUUUCAAUAUCGUCCAGUUCAUGUUCUUCUGAAAAAUCAAUUGACGCUUCCAAAAAAGCACGAUAUUCGAUAAGCUUUUUUCUCCAUCGAAAACAAAUAUCAUAAAUGGAGCCAUGUGCUUCUUUAUUUGCACUGUAAAGUUGUUCGGCUGUCUGCGCAUUGAUAACGUCUAUUAAUCCUUCCAGUUGCGUCAAAUCUGCACGACCGUUAUAAAAUGCUCUUUCGGAAAAUUCUCCUGGCUUAGCAUAGCGAAUAUUCGGAAUUCCUGACUGCUUUAUGGCUUCAAGUGUUACAUCCACCACAGCUGUCCCUCCAUGUAAUUGCAAUUCAACAACAUCUUCACCUGUAAAAGAUGAAGGCUUUUUAAAAUAUAACAUCAAUGCUUUGUCAAUGACUUCAGAACGCACUGGGUGUUUGAUCGUCCUCAGGGACGCUAUACGAGGUUUUGGCACACUUCCUGCGAGUGUUUUUGCUACCUAAUAUUAGUUGUUAGUAAAUGAUCGGUUUGUUCUAGAUUUAUAGACAUUUGCCUUACCUUGCAUGCAUUUGGGCCAGAAAUACGAACAAUUGCAACAGCAGAUGUACCGGGAGGAGUUGAUAAUGCAUAUAUAGUAGGAAUUUGAUGAACGAAUCUUCUAAAGC